GGAGAGAUGGCCGAGUGGUUCAAGG
rnacentral:tRNA from 1 species